CUCUUUGGAUAAGGUAUUUGUGAAUGACCAAUUCCUCAACUGGGAUCCCGAGCAUCGAAUCAAAGUUCAAAUUGUCUCUGCAAGGGCCUAUCAUUCCCUGUUCAUGCACAACAUGUGCAUCCGUCCUACGCCAGAAGAAUUAGAGGAUUUCAGUACUCCGGACUUCACAAUUUACAAUGCUGGCUAGUUUCCAUGUAAUCGAUACACACACUACAUGACUUCAGGGCGGCAGUUCGGUCGGGAGGCAUGCCGUCUACUCAUUCCUCUGU